GCCUACAACCAUGCUUGACUAGAUACUCCCACUUCAUCUCAUCUGAUCUCAGAAGCUAGGCAGGCCUAGGCCUGCCUAUUACUCAGGUGGGUGGCCAGCUGGGCACCCCAGGUGCUACAGGGC
rnacentral:rRNA from 1 species